GACGAACGCUGGCGGCGUGCUUAACACAUGCAAGUCGAGCGAGGAGGCCCUGCUGGGGGGGGGUGCUAGAGGGGAAAGGGGGAGAAAAACGCGGGCAAAACGUGCCCAGGACUGGGAGAAAUCUGGGAAAAAGGGGGGAAAAUAGGGGAUGAGAGCCACGGGCACCUGGGGGGGGGGGAAGAGUUUCGGCGGAUGGGGAUGGACUCGCGGCUUAUCAGCUUGUUGGUGGGGUAGUGGCUUACCAAGGCGAUGACGGGUAGCCGGCCUGAGAGGGUGACCGGCCACACUGGGACUGAGACACGGCCCAGACUCCUACGGGAGGCAGCAGUGGGGAAUAUUGCGCAAUGGGCGGAAGCCUGACGCAGCAACGCCGCGUGCGGGACGACGGCCUUCGGGUUGUAAACCUCUUUCGCCUGGGACGAAGCGUGAGUGACGGUACCUGCUGAAGAAGCACCGGCCAACUACGUG
rnacentral:rRNA from 1 species